rnacentral:rRNA from 1 species
ACGGGAGGCAGCAGUGAGGAAUAUUGGUCAAUGGGCGGAAGCCUGAACCAGCCAAGUCGCGUGAAGGAUGAAGGUAUUAUGUAUUGUAAACUUCUUUAGACGUAGAGAAAUAAGGGGGUCGUGACCCCUGAUGCUAGUAUACGUAGAAUAAGGAUCGGCUAACUCCGUGCCAGCAGCCGCGGUAAUACGGAAGGUCCGAGCGUUAUCCGGAUUUAUUGGGUUUAAAGGGAGCGCAGGCGGAGAUGCGAGCCAGCCGUAAAAUCGUUGAGCUCAACUCAAUCUCGCGGUUGGAACUGCAUCCCUUGAGUGCGGGAGAGGCAGGUGGAAUUCGUGGUGUAGCGGUGAAAUGCAUAGAUAUCACGAAGAACUCCGAUUGCGAAGGCAGCCUGCUGGUCCGUUACUGACGCUCAUGCUCGAAGGUGCGGGUAUCAAACAGGAUUAGAUACCCUGGUA